AUGCAGCCCGGACCGCUCGUUCUCUUGUGCACAGUCUUGGCCUUCCUCUGCUUUGGUUCCAGCAAUACACAGAGCAUCAUUCAACCUACAAAUGAAGUGUACAGGCAAGAGGGAGACUCUGUGACCUUGGACUGCAAAAUCACAGUCAGUUAUACUUACUACGUGAUGUACUGGUAUCAACAGCUUUCCAGUGGAGAGAUGACUCACAUCAUUCAACUACAUUCUGACCACAGGUUCUCAAGGGAAGGACUAUAUUCUGUGGGGUUUCAGAAACCAACCCUAGAGCUCACCAUCUCAGCCUUGACGCCUAGAGACUCAGCUGUCUAUUUCUGUGCUGUAGCACAAGCAUCCCACAGUGAAAGUAGUGAUGCGAAGAGCCUUACAAAAACCCCAAGUCUCAGCAUGAGCCAGCCAGCUGUUCCAGAAGCCUGGGAGAGAACAACCCACAGGACAGGAAGAGGGUAG